GGACUGUAGCUCAGUGGUAGAGCACUUGCCUCCCACACGUGAAGCACUGGGUUUGAUCCUCAGCACCA
rnacentral:tRNA from 1 species